UCUCUUUCCUUUUCAAAAUCUCCCCCUCCCCUCCUCAUCUCAUAUUUCGUUUCUGCGUGACCCGUCAUAUUUGCACAAACACACAACAAUUUUCCGCGUCCUCUUCCGCACACGCACCACCAGGGCUCUCGCGCGCGCACAGUA
ensembl:ncRNA C24A1.6 ncRNA